GUGGGAGUAAGUGCCAGACAAGGAAGAAAAACCCAUCUGAGCGUGAAUCAAAUUCAAGUCGAGAAAUGCUGAAUUUCCCCCUAACAAGCAAGCGAAGAGCUGCAGAAAAUGAGCCUCCCAAAGCAAGAGGCUGGUGAAACACUACGAAAAAUGCAGCUUUGGUGUCAUGCCUAGACCCCCCUGCACGGGUAUUAAUAGGCACACAACACGUGGAUACAACAUGCUAUGAAGUCUCUGUGCCAUCCUCUUUGAUGUUCUAGAGAGUGACAUUCGUCCUCAGGAAGAUCUCAGCCUUCAGCCUCCUGCUUCCUCAGUACGUGUGGACCAAUUGCCCAGAAUGAGGACCAGCGGCUGCAGCAGGGAAAUUCAUCUCAGCACCAGAUCCCUCGUCCCUCCUGCUGGUCUCAGGGCAGCAGCUGAUGGGACAUGGCUGUGCCCCACGUCACUCUACAAUGCUCCUCACACUGUGCUGCUAUUGAUGCUGACCAGAGCAUGCACAGACUGUGAUGCUCAGCACCAGGAGAACGCUUCCAUCUACAUCACAGGAUGCUGGGGCAAAUCUUAUGGUGUCUUGCAUCUAAAUUUGAAAAAUCUCCAGCAGUUUUAUGACAAAAUUGCUUCUUUGAAUGGUUUCACUAACGCUGCAGAAAAGCAACAAAAUGUUUGGGACAUCCAAAAGAUCAGGCAAGUAUUUCACCGAGUGUACCACAAAAUAUUAUGA
rnacentral:lncRNA from 1 species